CACACCGCCCGUCGCUACUACCGAUUGAAUGGCUCGGUGAGGCCUUCGGACUGGCCCAGGGAGGUCGGCAACGACCACCCAGGGCCGGAAAGUUCGUCAAACCUGGUCAUUUAGAGGAAGUAAAAGUCGUAACAAGGUCUCCGUAGGUGAACCUGCGGAGGGAUCAUUA
rnacentral:rRNA from 10 species